AUGAUCAAGGAUUUACCAACAAGGGGGGUUAUCGUCAAUUAUCCUGUUUGCGAGGAAAAGCUAUGCGAGUAGAUUGAUGUGGGCACAGUUGCGACCAUCCUGGCUCUCGCUGAUCAGCACCACUGUGUUGGGCUGAAGAAGGCAUGCUUUGAUUUCCUCAGCUCCCCUGCAAACUGGAGGGCAGUCGUGGCCACUGAAAGCUUCCAGCAUGUGUAUAUGAGCUGUCCAUCUGUUGUGAUGAAGCUGAUUGCCAUGCCCUCGGCAGAGUGA
rnacentral:rRNA from 1 species